UAUAAGGAUUUUGUCAUAUUUUCUUCUGAAAGUUUUAUUAAAGUUUUGAUUUUCACAGUUAGGUCUUUAAUCCACCAGGACUCAGUAUUUGUGGAAGGUCCAAGGAAGGAUUUGAUUGGAUAGUCAAUUGACAAUAGACAGUGAUCAGUUUAUCUAAUCACUAUUUACUGAUUGUCUGUUUUUCCUGAACUACUUUGGAGAACUCUCUCCUUCAUACAGUACUUCCUUUUAUGAGGCCAGUAUCUGUGCUUUCUGUUCUGCUACACUGUUCUCUUUAGCUACUGUCCCUCAAUACCACACUCUAAUCUCAGUGCCCUUUGUAAGUGGUAGAGCAAGUCCCCUGUCUUGUUUUCCAUCAUUUUGAUAGUCUUACCUGUUUUGGGCCUUUGUUCUUUCAUAUCAGUUUUGGAUCAGAUUGGUCAAAUCAUAAAAGGGAAUUUCUUUUAGGCUUUUUUAGGAUUUAAGAGAAGAAACAUUGUAAUUGAUAUUUUGUUUCAUAUGAACUGAUGUUAUUUAAAACAUUCACUUUUACUCCUUAGUAGUAACAUUUAAUUCUAAGUUUACUUAGAUUAUAGUUAGAAAGUAAGGCAAUAGGGCAAGAGGAUGAUUUUUCUACCGGAGAAUAUAUGAUGUAAUAGUACUGUAGCAGUGUACUGAGGUGGAUAUGUCUCUGUGUUGCUUUUUUGUUUGUUCAAAUGGAAGGACUUGAGAGAUGUUCUUACUGUUAAAAGACUACAUCUUGUUUAUAAGUAUGUCGACUAGACCAGCAAACACCUGUCACUUGACAAGUGAUAUUUCUAACCAUCUAUCAUCCAGGUAUCAAAACAAAACUUAAAGAUAUUUAGCUUUUACCUCCUGUUAUUUUCUCCCCCUUUUUGGUUGCCUUGUGUGUCCAAAUCUAACCCUCCCCCACCUUGGUUUUUCUACUUUCAUUUUUUACAAAAAUUUUUAAAGUAUUUUUGCUUACAGUUUUUUCCUGUUUUAAAUAGCUAGUCAGCAACAUUGGUGAGAAUAUUGUUUCUAGAAACCUGAGAUAUUUUGGCAUUGCCCAAGUAUUCAUUUCCCUUAUCCUUCCUUUUUAGCACUGAGUUUCACACUGGCUUAUUGGCAUUUCUGGGUCUUCCUUUGGAGUAAUAAACAUUGCUCCCAUCUUCUAGACUACCCUUAUGUUAUUUUCUUAGUGGACCUAUACCUGCCUGAGCUUACGGGAUAAGCAUGUCUCUGUUUCCGUGACACCCUGCAGAACACUUAAGGUGUUUUUUUACUCUUGAGACCUGUUUGUGACAGCUAUUACUGUUUCACUCAAAAAGGACUUUUUAAAGUUUCUUCUAGUUAAGGAAUGUUGAAAAUUGAAGGUCCCGGGAAGUAGUUAAAAUUCUGACUGACUUUUAAUGAACCUCAGAGGUUGUACUUAAUAGGUCUCUUAUAAAAGCAUGAAGGGAAAUGAUGAAUCAUUUAAAAAUUUUGUUACACAUAAUAUACCUGUUUAGUAUAAUUUUUAAAUGGUAGCAUAUAGAAAAAAAUUGUUACAGAAUUUUUUUUGUAAAUGAAAACUUGCAAACUCUUUUUCUUAGUGAAUGCACUCAUAUGAAGCAUUUGUUUACCAGUUUUCAUUUGCAUUGUGAGAAAUGUAGUGUCUGAAUUUUAGUUCAUUUGAACUAAAAGGGACUUUUAUUGUUGUCUGGAGCAGCUUCUCUUGCUUUCAUAUGUCACAAGAUGAAUUGUCUUCACAUCCUUUUCUAAAAGCUGUGCUUAAAUACUUAAAGAGAUCUAGCAUGCUCAGUGUUUUGGUUUUCCUGCUAGUACUAAGCACUUGAGGUGGAGGGUUGAAGGUUGACGAGGGGGGGACCUUUUUUUUAAAAACAUUAUUGCCUUAUUAGGCUCUUACUUUACUUGCAUUAGAAAAAUUCAGCUGAGUAAAUUUGAACAUCUAAUUGGCCUUAUUAAACAAUUCAUCAGUCAGGCAGCAUCUCGUCUAGCAAGCAGAGAUACUCAGGAGUUACAAAAAAUGGAAUGCUUUUAUAGAAAAGAGGGGCAAAGAAGUCAUUAGAAAAAGAAAAGUGAAAGUUCAUUGGUGGAAACUAGGAGUUCAGGGUGAUGAUAGCUUGUCAUUGGCUGAAUUGUGGUGUUUUCCAUUGGCUGGGCUUGUUGCUGGGCAUGAAGAAAAUCUCCAGCCAGGGUAGUCAAGUAGAGACGCCUUCCUGUUGGAGGUGGACUGCAUAUUGGGAGUAAUUGACACAAAUGGUAGGGUGUGAGAGCUCCCUCUACAGGCCUUCCCAAUCCCAACUUUAGUUGAGAUUUCAUUUAUUACAAUAUUUUGCUCUGUGUAAUUCAGUUUUUUGUGCAAAUUUUUGAGGGAAAAAUAAGGAUGGGCUUUAUACAUGGGUGUAAUAAUCAUAUACCACAGGUAUAAUAAUGGGUAUAAUAACCCCACGUAUGAUGUGCACAAAAGCAUGGGUGCACAUUAUAUGUGGGAGCGCAUUAAUUUUCACACUUGAUAGUGAGUGCAUAUUUGUAUUUAGUGUAGGGAUUGAACCUAAAAAGGUUAGUGUAUCAGAUAUCAAACAUUGCCCCCUGAAGAUUAUUGACAUUCUGAACUUAUUUUUAGUUCAUAUCACUUUAGUUUCAUGUGAGAAAUUUGUCAGUAUGUGGUGGUAUAGUUUUAAGAAUUUUAGCCAUUUUAGUGGUAUCUCAUUGUGGUUUUAAAAUGUGUUCAUCUGAUUACUGUUGGGCACCACCUUUAAAUAUAUUUAUUCACCAAAUGAUUGUCUUCUCUUUUGAAGUAUCUGUUUAGUCUUUCAUCCCUUUUUCUUUUCAUUUAAUUUCUGCAACACUUUUAAGCCUGGCAGCCAUUGUGGCCUUCAUUUUACAAAUGAGAACACGGAUUCAGAUUUGAUUCAGAGCUGAGGUGAACUACCUAGAGACAGUAAGCUAAUAAGUAAAUCUCAGAGCUGGGUGUAGAGAAGGCAGGUCUUCAUUGUUUAAUGGGUGAUGUGUGUACUCUGCAUGUGCUCACAGAGUGUACAUAACCAUUUCCUCAAGUCUGCAGAGGUCAUGUGAUCACCUGCCCAGUCUACAGCUUUUGAUUUUCCAUCUGUGACAUCUUGACAUGGUUAUGUGUACUUUGUAGACUCAUUUUUCCCCAGCUAUGG